ACUCCUACGGGAGGCAGCAGUGGGGAAUAUUGCACAAUGGGGCGCAAGCCUGAUGCAGCAACGCCGCGUGAGCGAUGAAGGCCUUCGGGUCGUAAAGCUCUGUCUCAAGGAAGAAUAAAUGACGGUACUUGUAGGAGGAAGCCCCGGCUAACUACGUGCCAGCAGCCGCGGUAAUACGUAGGGGCAAGCGUUAUCCGGAAUCACUGGGCGUAAAGGGUGCGUAGGCGGUUUUUCAAGUCAGAAGUGAAAGGCUAUGGCUCAACCAUAGUAAGCUUUUGGAAACUGUUAAACUUGAGUGCAGGAGAGGAAAGUGGAAUUCCUAGUGUUAGAGGUGGAAAUUCGUAGAUAUUAGGAGGAACACCAGUGGCGAAGGCGACUUUCUGGACUGUAACUGACGCUGACGGCACGAAAGCGUGGGGAGCGAACAGGAUUAGAUACCCUGGUAGCAC
rnacentral:rRNA from 1 species